rnacentral:piRNA from 1 species
CGAAUGAGCAGGAAGCUCCACCCCUGAG